rnacentral:SRP_RNA from 1 species
GUCGAGCUUAGUAACGUGGGCUUGUGAUCUGAGUGGAGACUAUAAGUUGAUGGAACUUUGGACCAAUUUC